AGUAGUCAAAAACCAGAUUCAGAGCGGAGGAACCAAAUAUUGGGGCGAAUCUUAUUAGAUAAGAGAGACACCUUCCAGUCUUAGCCCGUCAGCUAACUCCGUAGGCAAUGGGAGGAGUA
rnacentral:sRNA from 2 species